rnacentral:rRNA from 1 species
UGGCCUUGACAUACUAAGAACUUUCCAGAGAUGGAUUGGUGCCUUCGGGAACUUAGAUACAGGUGCUGCAUGGCUGUCGUCAGCUCGUGUCGUGAGAUGUUGGGUUAAGUCCGCAACGAGCGCAACCCUUUUCCUUAUUUGCCAGCGGGUAAUGCCGGGAACUUUAAGGAUACUGCCAGUGACAAACUGGAGGAAGGCGGGGACGACGUCAAGUCAUCAUGGCCCUUACGGCCAGGGCUACACACGUGCUACAAUGGUCGGUACAAAGGGUUGCUACCUCGCGAGAGGAUGCUAAUCUCAAAAAAGCCGAUCGUAGUCCGGAUCGCAGUCUGCAACUCGACUGCGUGAAGUCGGAAUCGCUAGUAAUCGCGGAUCAGAAUGCCGCGGUGAAUACGUUCCCGGGCCUUGUACACACCGCCCGUCACACCAUGGGAGUUUGUUGCACCAGAAGUAGGUAGUCUAACCGCAAGGAGGACGCUUACCACGGUGUGGCCGAUGACUGGGGUGAAGUCGUAACAAGGUAAGCGUAGAUGA